GACGAACGCUGGCGGCGUGCUUAACACAUGCAAGUCGUACGGUAAGGCCCUUUCGGGGGUACACGAGUGGCGCACGGGUGAGUAACACGUGAGUAACCUGCCCACAACUUUGGAUAACGCUAGGAAACUGGUGCUAAUACUGGAUAUGUGCUCCUGCUGCAUGGUGGGGGUUGGAAAGCUCCGGCGGUUGUGGAUGGACUCGCGGCCUAUCAGCUUGUUGGUGGGGUAGUGGCCUACCAAGGCGGCGACGGGUAGCCGGCCUGAGAGGGUGACCGGCCACAUUGGGACUGAGAUACGGCCCAGACUCCUACGGGAGGCAGCAGUGGGGAAUAUUGCACAAUGGGCGCAAGCCUGAUGCAGCAACGCCGCGGGCGGGAUGACGGCCUUCGGGUUGUAAACCGCUUUCAGCAGGGACGAAGCUUUUUGUGACGGUACCUGCAGAAGAAGCACCGGCUAACUACGUG
rnacentral:rRNA from 1 species